UGAACGCUGGCGGUAGGCCUAACACAUGCACGUCGACCGGCAGCACAGUAAGAGCUUGCUCUUACGGGUGGCGAGUGGCGGACGGGUGAGGAAUACAUCGGAAUCUGCUUUUUCGUGGGGGAUAACGUAGGGAAACUUACGCUAAUACCGCAUACGACCUACGGGUGAAAGCAGGGGAUCUUCGGACCUUGCGCGAUUGAAUGAGCCGAUGUCGGAUUAGCUAGUUGGCGGGGUAAAGGCCCACCAAGGCGACGAUCCGUAGCUGGUCUGAGAGGAUGAUCAGCCACACUGGAACUGAGACACGGUCCAGACUCCUACGGGAGGCAGCAGUGGGGAAUAUUGGACAAUGGGCGCAAGCCUGAUCCAGCCAUACCGCGUGGGUGAAGAAGGCCUUCGGGUUGUAAAGCCCUUUUGUUGGGAAAGAAAAGCAGCAGGUUAAUACCCCGCUGUUCUGACGGUACCCAAAGAAUAAGCACCGGCUAACUUCGUG
rnacentral:rRNA from 1 species